rnacentral:rRNA from 1 species
AGAACGAACGCUGGCGGCAGGCUUAACACAUGCAAGUCGAACGCGUGUAGCAAUACACGAGUGGCGCACGGGUGAGUAACGCGUGGAUAUCUGCCUUUUGGUUCGGAAUAACCCCGGGAAACUGGGGCUAAUACCGGAUGGUUCCUACGGGAUAAAGAUUUAUCGCCAAAAGAUGAGUCCGCGUACGAUUAGCUAGUUGGUGAGGUAAUGGCUCACCAAGGCGACGAUCGUUAGCUGGUCUGAGAGGACGAUCAGCCACACUGGGACUGAGACACGGCCCAGACUCCUACGGGAGGCAGCAGUGGGGAAUAUUGGACAAUGGGGGGCAACCCUGAUCCAGCCAUGCCGCGUGAGUGAUGAAGGCCUUCGGGUUGUAAGCUCGUUUUGGCGGGGACGAUGAUGACGGUACCCGCAGAAUAAGCCCCGGCUAACUUCGCGCCAGCAGCCGC